rnacentral:tRNA from 1 species
GGGGAUGUAGCAUAACUCGGUUAGUGUUGCCGGCUCCAGACCGGUAGAUCCAGGUUCAAAUCCUGGUAUCCCCA